UACGUAGGGGGCAAGCGUUGUCCGGAAUCAUUGGGCGUAAAGAGCGUGUAGGCGGCCCGAUAAGUCCGCUGUGAAAGUCCAGGGCUCAACCCUGGGAUGCCGGUGGAUACUGUCGGGCUCGAGUCCGGAAGAGGAGUGUGGAAUUCCUGGUGUAGCGGUGAAAUGCGCAGAUAUCAGGAGGAACACCAAUGGCGAAGGCAGCACUCUGGGACGUGACUGACGCUGAGGCGCGAAAGCGUGGGGAGCAAACAGG
rnacentral:rRNA from 1 species